CUCUGCCGGACAAAAUAUGUGCCUCCGGCGAAGCUAUGUUGGUGCGAUCUCCGCCGAAAUCUCGUGCGCAGUCCAGUCUCUGUCGGUCUACGUUGAUUCUCCUCCUGUCUCCAUAAGCUUCAUUCGCAUCUUUCUUCUCUGCAUCUCAAAAAAGCUAUAUGUCUCCGUGGCAUUGCAUAAGAUUUCGACGAGGGUUUGAUUCUAUGUCUAAGCCCCUAACCCUAAUUCAUCAGGGGAAACGUAGAAGUAGAUGGAUUUGAGCCUGGGUUUGAAGCCGACGAAGCUAACCUGAACCAGUUAACUUACGAUGUCUCGAAACUGGGUUUGAACUUUGAAGCUGACAAAUUCGUCAUCAGGGUUAUGUUCUGAUGUCUAGUAGUGGAACUGUUUUCCGUGUUUUUGUUCCUUAGAUUCUGCAUUCCUCGUCUGUUUCAGACAGGCUGCAGAGUGUUACACACGUAAUAAGGAGCGAACGCUGAUUACGCCGCAUGCACUUACAGUAGAAUGAGAAACCAAGGCUACUGUUUGUCUAAGCUAAAGAAUGGCUUGAAAAAUCUUCGGAAGAGUGAAGAGGCGGUGUAUUUGUACAAUUCAUCCUCCUUAGCUUCACCUCUCUUGAAAUCUCUAGACUCAGUCUUUUCUUCUCCAGAAACUCGGGCAAGAAGGCGUGAAUUUGCCCAAUUCUUGCAGCUAUCUGUGACAGAUGAUCCAUUGUCGUAUUACAAGAAGGUUCAUGGUCAGAUUUUAGCUUUGGGUUUUGAAUCGGAUACGUAUCUGGGUAAUAUUUUAAUGAAUGUGUACUCCAAAGCUGAUGACAUCGGUUCUGUGCGUAAGCUGUUCGGCCGAAUGCCUGAUAGAAACUUGGUUACUUGGUCUACCAUGAUUUCUGCGUGUACCCAGCAUGAAUUUUAUGAGGAGGCUUUGGUAGCGUUCUCGGCAUUUUCGAGAAUGCGGAAGUACAAUCCAAACGAAUACAUUUUGUCGAGUGUUAUUCGUGCUUGCUCGCGGUUGGAUGGCAGUGAACGUUCACUUGGGUUUCAAAUGCAUGGUUUUGUUGUUAAGCGUGGUUUUGACCGAGAUCUUUAUGUUGGUACCUCAUUGAUUGAUUUUUAUCUGAUGGAAGAUGAUAUUGAUUCGGCAAUGCUUGUUUUUGAUGCUUUACCGGAGAAAUCGACUGUGACUUGGACAACACUGAUCAGCGGGUGUGCUAAAAGGGGAAGAAGCGAGGUUUCUUUGCAGUUGUUCUAUCAGGUAAGGGAAAGUAACAUCGUUCCCGAUGGAUUUAUCCUUUCAACCGGUUUGAGUGCAUGCUCAAUGCUCAAGUUUGUGGAAGGCGGGAAGCAGAUCCAUGCAUAUGUCAUAAGACACAGACACGAGAUGGAUGUCUCUCUGAUGAAUGUGAUUAUAGAUUUAUAUGUGAAGUGCGCCAAAGUCACAGCUGCUCGAAAGCUUUUCGAUGGAAUGGUGACUAAAAAUAUCAUUUCUUGGACCACAAUGCUGUCUGGUUACAUGCAGAACUCACUUCAUGAGAAAGCUAAAGAAUUGUUUUCUCAGAUGUCAUUGUUUGGUCUAAAGCCUGAUAUGUUUGCUUGCUCUAGCAUACUCACAUCUUGUGCCUCAAUUCGGGAUCUACAAUAUGGUAGAAAAGUGCAUGUUUACACUAUCAAAUCCAAUCUUGAAACAGAUAGCUAUGUGAGAAACAGCUUGAUAGACAUGUAUGCAAAAUGUGAUUCUUUGAUUGAUGCCAGAAAAGUUUUCAAUCUUGCAACUGACCGUCACGUGGUUUUCUUUAAUGCGAUGAUUGAAGGUUACUCAAGGCAUGGGGAGCUAUCUGAGGUGUUGAAUAUUUUUCGCGAUAUGAGGUUCAGAUCUGUUCAGCCUAUGCCAUUGACCUUUGUCAGUCUUCUGGGUGCUUCGGCUUCUUUGUCAAACCUAGAGCUAAACGAGCAACUCCAUGGGCUGAUGUUCAAGUAUGGGGUAUGCUUUGAUAUCUUUGUCGGGAGUGCCUUAAUUGAUGCUUACUCAAAGUGCUCUUGCAUCAAGGAUUCCAGGCUUGUGUUUGAGGAGAUGAAAGAGAAAGACAUAGUUGUCUGGAACGCAAUGUUUACAGGUUAUUUCCAGCAAUCAGAGAACGAGGAAGCAUUCAAACUGUAUGCUGAGUUGCAGUUAUCAGGUGAAAAACCCGAUGAAUUUACUUUUGCUGCUCUGUUUACAGCAGCCAGCAACUUGGCAAGCCUCCGAUUGGGUCAAGAGUUACAUUGCCAACUCAUUAAGACAGGCCUAGAAUCUAACCUUACAAAUGCCGUGGUUGAUAUGUAUUCCAAAUGUGGAAGUCCUGAAGAGGCUUACAAGGCGUUUACUUCAGCAGCAUCUAGAGAUGCUGUUUGUUGGAAUUCUGUCAUAUCAUCAUAUGCGAACCACGGAGAAGGCCGAAAAGCUCUCCAGGUGCUGGAAAGAAUGAUGAAUGAGGGAAUAGAACCCAAUUACAUCACAUUUGUGGAAAUUCUUUCGGCGUGUAGCCAUGCUGGGCUCGUCGAAGACGGGCUCAAGCACUUUGAGUCGAUGCUCCGACUUGGCAUUGACCCGGGAACUGAGCACUAUGCUUGUAUAGUAUCUCUUCUAGGCCGUGCUGGUAGGUUAAACGAGGCAAAGGAGUUUAUCGAGGCAAUGCCCACGAGACCAGCUGCAACGAUAUGGAGGAGCUUGCUGAGUGUAUGCGUGACUGUGGGAAACAUCGAACUGGCGGAACAUGCGGCAGAAAUGGCGAUUUCGUCUGACCCAACAGACAGCGGAUCGUUUAUUCAACUUUCCAACAUGUAUGCAUCCAAAGGCAAGUGGGCUGAUGUGAAAAAGAUAAGAGAGAGAAUGAAGUCUGAGGGCGUGGUGAAAGAACCUGGAAGAAGUUGGAUUGAGAUAAAUAAUGAGACGCAUGCCUUUUUGUCAAGAGACAAAUCUCACAGCAAGGCGGACCAGAUUUACAGAGUGCUAGACGAUUUGUUCGUGCAAAUUAAAGGUGCUAGUUAUCUGCUGGAAGCUGCUUUGAUUCCAUUGGAUGGUUGAGUGAGUUCUGUCUGAAAGGGGCUAAUGCGAAGGAGGUUGUCUUCAGCUCUUGAUCCGUAAUUACACACAAAUCCUGUGUUAAUCAGUGUUUUUUUUUUUGUGUUCAUUGCACUAAGAGUGAAUGCAAUACAAGAUGGCAAGGAUUAAGGAGAACAAAUUUACGGUGCAUCAUCUGGGUUUUGUCAAGCUCUGAGAAGGGAGGCUCAAUGGUUGAACUGAAGAUGAGUUUUAUUUUAUUCUUGUAAAAUAAAAAUAUAAAUAUAUUUGAAUAUUGGCUAGAUAUGCUUUUUUUUUUGUCACAAUAAAAGAAACAAGAGUUGAGGUCCUUAGAGAAUCGGUUCGCUGGCCUCCGGCUCAGGAGCAGUCAAGAGGAUGGUGCUGAGGGGGUUGCCCCUCGGGGAUGGUGCCGAUGGAGGCUUCGUUGCAUCAGCGACCGGAAUUUCCCCGGAGAGCCGCCCUGGCUGCCACGUGUCCUCUGCUGAGACCGGUAGAAGAACACAUGCGCUUAGGACCAAAACCACCGUUGCGAUCAGCAAGGCCUUCCUCAUUGUCUGUUUUCUUCUUGUGUUGUUUUACUAACAAAAUAUUUAGGAAGAGCAAAAAGAUGAUAUAUGCGAUGCAAGUGAAUGUAUGUAUGUCUGUGUGUAUAUAUAGAUAUAUUGUGGUGGAACAAAAUCUUUGUAAGAUUAUUUGAAUCAAAUCUUAC